GAUCAUGGCUCAGGAUGAACGCUGGCGGCGUGCCUAACACAUGCAAGUCGAACGGAGCUGCUUUGAUGAAGUUUUCGGAUGGAUUUAAAACAGCUUAGUGGCGGACGGGUGAGUAACGCGUGGGUAACCCGCCUCACACUGGGGGAUAACAGUUAGAAAUAGCUGCUAAUACCGCAUAAGCGCACAGUUCCGCAUGGAACAGUGUGAAAAACUCCGGUGGUGUGAGAUGGACCCGCGU
rnacentral:rRNA from 1 species